CCAGCAGUGAGCCCUGGGAAAGGGCAGAGAUUCUCAGAGGAAAGCAGGUCGUUGUGACGAUCGCAAUUCCUUGGAUCAACAUUGCUCUAAAGGAAGGUCUGUGCUCAAGAGGAUUUUAGGUGGUUCGUGGAAGAGAAAGGAAUGGAAGACUUGCUCAGGAUGAAGCGCAGGCUAAAAAGGACAGAGCACCCUGAUAGAAAGGCCAAUACUAGGAGCAUGUACUAGGAGAGGUGGAAUGUGCAUGCAACAAAUCUAGAAGGUUGCUUGGAAACAUUCCUGUGUGCCAGCCAGGAGGCAUCGGCAGGUGAGUCAAUUAGGUUCAUCUGGCUGUUGGAAAAUAACAGGCAUUCUGUUUGUUGCCUGUCUGUGGUCCGAAGAACCUGAUGGGGCUACAGGAACAUUGAGGGACAGGGACAAUGUGCGGUAGAGGGGAAGAGGGACACCCUCCAGCAUUGGCCUGGGAUGUAGUCAAUAAAGGGUAAGUGUCAGGGCAAGUGUCCCUGAGGCCGGAGCAGCAUAAAGCUAAGGAGUGUGCUGUGCUUGCUCUGGAAGCCCAGGUAGGUUCUCAGACUUACGGCCAUCUGGAUUUUAAGAGAGUUGUGGACGGCUGAAGGACUUGGAAAUGUCCAGGUCAUAAAUGUCCAGGGUAUCAGGCAGGUGGUUAAGCUGACAUUCUAAACACUGGUUUGAAAGGAUUUCUGAUGAAGUGGCAGUGUGUCAGUGAGAUACAGUGAGGUAGGAAACAUACCAAAAUAGUAUGCACACCAAAAUAAUAUGGGUGACAUACCCAUGUGGUGACCAAGAAAGAGUCCUAAGAAACCACUGUGUUUGAAUCAAGGAAUAUUUAGUGUGAAUAAUCAUGAUCCUCAAAAUUCAUGAUGGUACUAAGUAAGAGUGGUGGCCUUAGGUGGAAUAGUAUCAUGGAGAGGUAGGAUUAGUGCCUAUGUUACUGGACUCAGGGGGGUCACAGCUUGUGCUCCCAACAAGCCAGUUUGGGCCACCGCUAGGGGCCCCACAAACAGACCAAACCUCUCAACGGUCACCCACAUGCAGAGGGCUUAUGCCAGUUCCAUCCGGGCUCCCUAGCUGUUGGUCUAGUCUGUGAGCUCCCACAAGCACAGGUCAGCUGUCUCUGUGGGUUUCCCAGUCAUGAUCUUGACUCCUCUGGCUCGCACAAUUCCUCCUCCCUCUCUUCAGCUGGACUCCCGGAACUCGGCCCAGCGCUUGGCUGUGCGGGAUUCAUUAUUUCAACAGUCCAAUAGUCAAAGAAAGGAGCACAAAUGUGUUUUUAGAAUACAUUCAUCCCAGCUAGACAGGCUGUUUAUACCUAGUGACCCCAGGUACAGAGAGGGAUAGAUGGCUCUCUAUCCCUCUUUCCAACAUGUGGGCUCUGUUGGCGGUCUGCAACCAGACUGCAACUUUCUUAGUACUCCAAUCUGCAGAAGUGUGAGGAAUGCAUUUCUUGAGUUUAUGAGCUGCCCAGUCUUCCUAUAGCAGUCUGAACUAAGAUGAGAUCAGAAAAGUACCUCUUUUCCAGGCCACUUUCUUGUUUUGGUUUUGUUUUCUUGUUCGGAGAAAAAUACUAGAUCCCAGAGAGCAGUCAGAAGUGGGUUGCAGCCAUCUCCAAGAGGGAUGCCAAGGCUCUGUGCUUCCACUGAGGCAGCUGGCGGGAAAAGAAAAGAGAAGAGGAGCCAAGGAAUACUGAGAGGCAGGAACCUGAGACACUUGGUGCCAAAGCGGAUGAAGACGAGGAAGCGAAGUUUCUUCGAAAUCAGCACAGCUGGCAUGGGGCCAGGCUGGGAUGCUCCUGGGACUCUAUGGUCAAGGCAGCAGGAAGAAGACCCGGUUAAAGUCCGAACUUCUGCAUCGGCACUGCAGUGACAGACCCUGCCAUCUGUGGAUCCCUGGAGUUGCUCGUUAUUGAACCAUCGAGUACGGAAGAGUGGCUGCAGAAAGAACUCUGCAGUCAGACUCCCCGUGUUGAACCCUGGCUGUGUGCCUAGGUUAAACUUUCCUGUGCUGAAGUGUCUGCGUGUGUGAGGUGGGUAUGAUAAUAGUACCUACCUUAGAAGAUGGUUGUGAGGAUUCACUGAAAUAGUCUGUGUAC